rnacentral:lncRNA from 1 species
AGGUUUACUUUGUUGGUACUUUUUUUUUUUCUUGCUCCUUAUUUUAGAUGCUGUGUGUGCGUGUGCGUGUUUUUGCUGGGGAUUGACUACCACUGAGGCAUAUUCCCAGCUCAUCAUGGGUUUUUUUUUUUAUGGGGGCAGUACUAGGGAUUGAAUCAAGGGGUGCUUUACCAAUAAGCUACAUCCCCAGACACUUUUAUUAUUAUUAUUUUUUUAAAUUUUGAGUCAGGAUCUCGCUAAGUUGCUUAGGGCCUUGCUAAAUUGCUGAAACUACCCUCAAACUUGCGAUCCUCAUGCCUCAGCCUCCCGAAUCUCAUCAUGCAUUUUUGAUAUGUAGUAAUUCAACUAUGGUUUAGUUCUAAAUACACUAAAUUAGAUCUUCACUUGAUGAGAUUACUUAGGGGUGUAUUUUUAAUUUCUAUAACUACGCAGUUGUUUCAAUAUAUCUUUAUGGUAGGAUAGAAGUUCAUUGGAUUAGACAAAGGGGAAUGAAGGGAAGGGUAGGAGGAUGAGAAUAGGAAAAACAGUAGAAUGAGUCUGAUAUAACUUUCCUAUGUUUAUAUAUGAACACAUGACCAGUGUAACUCCACAUCAUAUACAACUACAAGAAUGGGAAGUCAUACUCCAUGUAUGUAUAAUAUGGCAAUAUAUAUUCUACUGUCAUGUAUAACUAAAAAGAACAAAUAAAAAAAGGA